rnacentral:siRNA from 1 species
AUAUGUCACGACCGUUUGGUUAAC